rnacentral:rRNA from 1 species
CCUACGGGAGGCAGCAGUGGGGAAUAUUGGGCAAUGGAGGCAACUCUGACCCAGCAACGCCGCGUGAGCGAUGAAGGUCUUCGGAUUGUAAAGCUCUUUAAGUGGGGACGAAGAAAGUGACUGUACCCACAGAAUAAGCCUCGGCUAACUACGUGCCAGCAGCCGCGGUAAUACGUAGGAGGCAAGCGUUAUCCGGAAUGACUGGGCGUAAAGGGUGCGUAGGUGGUUUGACAAGUUGGUAGCGUAACUCCGGGGCUCAACCUCGGAUCUACUACCAAAACUGUUGGGCUUGAGUGCAGGAGGGG